rnacentral:sRNA from 2 species
GCGGAUGAAAUCUAGGGUUCCGAUCUCUUCACGGGGAUGCCUGGUCCAAGAGGUUUCCACCGGCCUUGCCGGUUGCACGGAGGGACAAAAGCCCGGGAGAC